rnacentral:rRNA from 1 species
UACGUAGGGGGCAGGCGUUGUCCGGAAUCAUUGGGCGUAAAGCGCGUGUAGGCGGCUCGGUAAGUCUGCUGUGAAAGUCCAGGCUCAACCCUGGGAUGCCGGUGGAUACUGUCGAGCUCGAGUCCGGAAGAGGCGAGUGGAAUUCCUGGUGUAGCGGUGAAAUGCGCAGAUAUCAGGAGGAACACCAAUGGCGAAGGCAGCUCGCUGGGACGUGACUGACGCUGAGACGCGAAAGCGUGGGGAGCAAACAGG